rnacentral:rRNA from 1 species
GAUGAACGCUAGCGGCAGGCCUAAUACAUGCAAGUCGAGGGGCAGCACGGGUAGCAAUAUCUGGUGGCGACCGGCGCACGGGUGCGUAAUACGUAUACAAUCUGCCUUUUACAGUGGAAUAGCCUGGAGAAAUUCGGAUUAAUGCCCCAUAAUAGAUUGACUGGCCGCAGUUGAUUUUGAAAGCUCCGGCGGUAAAAGAUGAGUAUGCGCAUGAUUAGCUAGUUGGUAGUGUAACGGACUACCAAGGCGACGAUCAUUAGGGGAUCUGAGAGGACUACCCCCCACACUGGUACUGAGAUACGGACCAGACUCCUACGGGAGGCAGCAGUAAGGAAUAUUGGUCAAUGGAGGCAACUCUGAACCAGCCAUGCCGCGUGCAGGAUGAAUGCCCUAUGGGUAGUAAACUGCUUUUAUACGGGAGAAAACCCGAGUACGUGUACUCGGUUGAUAGUACUGUAAGAAUAAGGAUCGGCUAACUUCGUGCCAGCAGCCGCGGUAACAC